rnacentral:rRNA from 1 species
GCAUACGCGGUUAUACAAUAAAUCUUAAUUAAUAUUAUUGGUUAAUGAAGUUUAUUUUUAUUAUUUGAAUUUAAUUUAUUUAUUUUAAGGUGAAAUUUAAAUUUUUAUUAAAUUUUUUUUUAAUUCUUUUAAAGAUAAAAUAAAAACUAGGAUUAGAUACCCUAUUAUUUUAUCUAUUAAUUUUGACUAGGGUAGUAAUAGUUAUGUUCUUUAAACCUAAAGAAUUUGGCGGUGUUUUAGUCUAUUCAGAGGAAUUUGCCUAUUAAUCGAUAGUCCCCGAUUAAUCUUUCUUUUAUUUGUAAUCAGUAUGUAUACCGCCGUUAUAAGUUUAUUUUAUAAGAUUUAAUUUACUAAUUUUUUUAUUUUAAUUUAUUUCAGGUCAAGGUGCAG